GACGAACCGAGCGAACGUUAUUCGGAAUCACUGGGCUUAAAGGGCGCGUAGGCGGGCUGCCAAGUCAAGGGUGAAAGCCCCCGGCUCAACCGGGGGAAGUGCCUCUGAUACUGGCGGCCUCGAGGGAGGUAGGGGCGUGCGGAACUUCCGGUGGAGCGGUGAAAUGCGUAGAUAUCGGAAGGAACACCGGUGGCGAAAGCGGCGCGCUGGACCUCUUCUGACGCUGAGGCGCGAAAGCCAGGGGAGCGAACGGG
rnacentral:rRNA from 1 species